UUGAACGCUGGCGGCAGGCCUAACACAUGCAAGUCGAACGGUAACAGGAAGCAGCUUGCUGCUUCGCUGACGAGUGGCGGACGGGUGAGUAAUGUCUGGGAAGCUGCCUGAUGGAGGGGGAUAACUACUGGAAACGGUAGCUAAUACCGCAUAAUGUCGCAUGACCAAAGAGGGGGACCUUCGGGCCUCUUGCCAUCGGAUGUGCCCAGAUGGGAUUAGCUUGUUGGUGGGGUAACGGCUCACCAAGGCGACGAUCCCUAGCUGGUCUGAGAGGAUGACCAGCCACACUGGAACUGAGACACGGUCCAGACUCCUACGGGAGGCAGCAGUGGGGAAUAUUGCACAAUGGGCGCAAGCCUGAUGCAGCCAUGCCGCGUGUAUGAAGAAGGCCUUCGGGUUGUAAAGUACUUUCAGCGGGGAGGAAGGGAGUAAAGUUAAUACCUUUGCUCAUUGACGUUACCCGCAGAAGAAGCACCGGCUAACUCCGUG
rnacentral:rRNA from 1 species